GCUCUGAGAUGAGGCCCAAGAAUCAUUGAGGUUGAUGGUUGCACAAAAACCCUCUUUCUUCUCCAGGGGCCAAGAUCUCCUAGUUACUUUCCCAAAGUCAUCUGGCCAAAUUUAUCUGGGGAUCUAAACCCUAAGCAUUUGUCAGGAUCUCUCUGAAACUGCUUCACACCUGGCUUGGAAUUAUUUUUCAUUACAGCCUUGAGGAGCCCAAUUUUCUCCAAGGUGGAAUUCUCCUGUGCAGUUCCAUAGUCACAUGACCAUUUGGCUUGUUACUCUGUUGAUUAUAAUUUCUUCUGUGUGCCAGAUCUUUUCAAAAAUCAUAUAUGUUCCCACUGAAAGAGGUAAGGCAGAAGGAUGAAGCAGAAAGCAGCCACGUGUCAGAUUUGAUAUCACUAAUUUUGUGAUUAGAACUAUUUUCAUGCUCAGAGGCAAAUCACAGAGAGUAGAAAGGAUAUUUGAUUCUCUAAAACAGGAUGUAAUCAACUCAGCCAUGCAAAUUAGUACAUGCCCAGAGCCUAAUGGAAAUUUAAUAAGCGCUGGUACUCUUUUUGAUUACUUUCUUGUUAGACUACUAUGAGAAUGACUUUGGAUUUGGUGUGGGAACCAUGUGCCCAUGUUUCCCUGAGACAUGUCUUCCAUUUCCUGGGUGGAGCAGGUCAGUUCCGAGGCUAUUUUCCUUUUUUUAAAAAAAAUUUUAAAAAUUAAAAAAUUUUUUCCUCUUUUAACUUUUCUACUUUUAACUUGACAAACACCAAUAAACAUUAACUUUUACAAGUAUAUACACAAAACAAAAAAGAGGAUCAUAUGUGAAAUUAAGAAUCUUUAUUAUAUAUAGUUUGUUUUUUAAAAGUAUAUAUCUAACAUGUUAAUUUCAAAGUUGUUCUGCUUGUCUGUGUCUCUGAACUUUUAUUCUGUGCGUUAAAAUAUACUUCAAUGAUUUUUUUUUGCAUUACUAUCUCUGCCUGCCCCCCCUCUUAAAAAAAACAACAACCCUAAAGCUUUCAUUAUAAAUGGACAAAUAAGUAAAACCAAUCCACAGGUUGGCUAUGUCCAAAAAUGUAUGUGACAUUCUAUUAAUAGUUCACUUCUCUGACAGGAAAUGGAUAGUAUGCUUCAUCCGAAGCUGUGGCUGCUCAUUGCAUUGAUUAUAAAUAGCUACUAAAUGUUAGUUACUUCAUCAUCAGUCCUCUGGAGUUGUAGCUAAUCAUUGCACUAAUCACAGCUCUUAAAUUUUUCGAGGUUGUUUUUCUUUGCAAGGUUGCAGUUACUAAUAAAUUGUUCUCUUGGUUCUGCUUACUUCCUUUUGUAUAAGUUCAUAAACAUCUUCCCAAGUUUCUCUGAAUUCAUCCCUUUUGUCAUUUCUCAUGAUGUGUGGUAUUUCCUUACAUUUCUAUACCGUAAUUUGUACUAAUACCUGCUAAAUGCCGAAAAGUCAAAGGUAUAGCUGCUACCAUUUUUUAGGAAGAACUACUUUGGAGGAUUUAUGGGAGGAUAUUGAUAAGAUAAGAGGUAGGAGUACCCACACUAAUAAAAUCACAGCUCCAUUGGCAUUGAAUCAUGGUUCAAUUUUCUCUUUUUACAGUGAUUGCAUAGUUUGUAACCAAUUCAAGCAACCAGUGUUAUUAAAAGAAGGCUUCUGGUGUUUGUAUACACACACACACACACACACAUACAUGCAUAUGUACACAUGCACACAUACACAUACACCAAUGAAUAUGCAAAUACAGAUGAAGAUGUAGACAUAGCUAUACCCUUAAUGAUUUAUGACCCACUCCAUGUUCUGUGCAUUUUCUUUUUGGGCAAAAGUUUUCAAUAACAAAAAAAGAGAAUAACUCAAAAUUAUAAGCAUUUAGCUAUUCAUUAUGCACUACUUAUAACAUUUCCAGUGUUGUUAUCAUGAAAGACUAUUAAAUUGAGGGCGAUAGUCUAUGUUUGUGUGUGCCUGAGAGUUCCUAGGGCAAUGGUGAGCAGUAACACUAAAAAUAAAUGUUUGUUCAUAAAUUGGUUGAUAACAACUAAAUGAAGAUGGCCUUGUUAUACUUAAUAAAUUUAAUUUAUUCUUCAAGUAUCAAGGUUUGUAAGGGAAUACUGUUUUAAUAUAAAAUUCAGUAGGGGGCUCAAAAGUGUGGGUCAGUUUGCUUCACUGUUACUCUUUUAAUGAGUAUCAUUGAAUAUAUUAUUUGAUAUUUAAGUGAAGUGGAUUUGGCAACUUAGUUAAUUUAAAUUUGCUUAAUAUGCCAUCCAUUGUAAAUUCGAAGUUCAGAUCAAUGAUGUAUUAUUCCGUGUAUGUAUUUAAUGGUCAUUAGAAAAUAUGCUGUAUGAAGCAUACAAAUAUAUGUAUAGUGUACUCACUCCAAACAUUAUCUCCUCUAUAUUGGUGGGUUUGAAUGAAUGGAUGCUCUUUCUCAAUUUAGACUUAUUUAGUAUGCUAAAAUAAGUGAAUAUAAUCAGAAGAUGUGAAAAAAACUAAAUAUAGGCAUUUCUCUUUUUUUAAAGGUAUAUUAGGUUUCCCGCCUAUACUUAGUUAUAAAAAAAGAUCAAAGUAUGAUUUCUUUGGAACACUAAAUCAAUUUGUUAACUUUUUCAAUAAAAAUGAGUUCAUGUAA